AUGCCGCCGCCCCCCGCCCGCCGGCCCGGAUUGGCGCCGCCCCGGCCAGUGGCCACCGCGCCGGCGGCGAAGCCGGCGAAGGGACGAGGAGGCAGCGUCAAACGGCCGGCCAACCGCAGCCGCAACCCGGCCGACAGUUCUACGCGGCCGGUGAAGGUCUCAAAGGCGGCCGCGGCGGCUCGGGGCGACGACUCGCAGACGGUGCGGCCGGCGGCCUCCUCCAGCAGCCACACAUCCAUUCCUCAACCUCCCCCGCCGCGCACCGCCGGCCGUGGACGAAGAUGUGGCCACGCCGACGGCCACCGCCUCCAACAUGUUCGACGAAAUGUCGCAAAGGUUGUUGAUGAUGAAGCUUUCAUGCACGCAACAAAUGUGGCAAAUGAUGAUUACAUAUAUGAGUCACAAGAAUAUGAAACCCAAUAUGAUGAUGACAAUCUUGAUGUGGACGAUGAGGGCUUCAUUGUCAAGGGAAGAAGUGGAAAUUAUAGCACCGCGGAGGAUGUGUUGAUAUGCACCGCUUGGAAGAAAAUCUCUCAAUAUGCAAGCGUUGGAAGCGACCAAACGAAAAUGAUUGCACAAGGAUUGUUUCGGGAGAGGAACAUGAAAGGCGAGAAGAAGAAAAGGAAAGGAAAAGCUUUCACUUUUCAUCACUGCUACAAAGAGCUCAAGGAUGUGGAGAAGUGGGAAACUAGAGAGACUUUUGAAUCGUCGAAGAAGAAGAGUGUGUUGGUUGAGGAUGAAGAAGAUGUCGCCAAUGAAGAGACGAGCCCCACUCCUCACUCCGCGACAAAAUCUUAUAGGCCCGAUGGAAACAAGAAAGUGAAGGGAACCAAGGCCGGAGACAAUGAUCUCAAAGAAGGAUUUGAUGCCAUUGUCAUGGCAAGGAAAGAGUAUGCCGAAGAGAAAAGAAUCUUGAAGCUCAAGGAAAAAGAGGAGAGGAAGGAGAAGAAGGUCGUGGACGACGAGAGGAAGAUGGUUGAAGAGAGGACACUCAAGUUUAUGUUUAUGGACACAUCAACUCUUGAUGCCAAGGCAAAGGCAUAUGUUGAACUUUGUCGCGAUGAAAUGCUCAUGAAGAAGCAAAUGCUCAUGAGGCAAAUGAUGAUGGGAGGAGGCAUGGGAGGUGCCAUGGGUGGUGCCAUGGGAGGAGGCAUGGGAGGAGGCAUGAGAGGAGGCAUGGGAGAUGCCAUGGGAGGAGGCAUGGGAGGUGCCAUGGGCGGUUACAUGAACAUGAUUGGAGGUGCCAUGAAUGGUGCAUUUGGCGGAAACAUGGGAGGUGGCUAUGGUGGCAACAUGGAAGGUGGCUUUGGCGGCAUGGGAGGUGGCUUUGGCGGCAUGGGAGGUGGCUUUAGCGGCAUGGGAGGUGCGUUUGGCGGCAACAUGAUGGGUGGCUUGGGAGGUGGCUAUGGCGGUAACAUGAGUGGCGUUGGAGGUGGAUAUGGCGGCAACAUGGGACGGAAUGAAGAUGCUUCCGGUGGUGCUCACGGCAACGAGAGUUCACCGCUUGUUGAGAACAUCGACAAAGACGGUGGUGAAGAUGAUGAUCGUACCAUGGUUCACAAUGCCGGUGGUGUUGAUGAUCCGCACGAGUAA
rnacentral:rRNA from 1 species